CAGGCGGUGGAGGGGCUGGGGGGAGCCGGGACCCCCCCCACGCCGCCGCGACCCCCCCACGCCGCCGCCGCUGCUGCCAGGCCCCCGCCGCGACGAUGCUGCCGGGCCUCAAGGGCCCGUGGCUGGCCUUCCACGGCGGCGUCUUCGUGGGCUUCGCCGCCACCUUCUACCUCCUCCACGGCGUCCUGCUGCCGGCGCCGCCGGUCCCCCGGGCCCCCCAGGCGGGCGAGGACCCCGCGGCGGCCGCCCGGAGCCCCGGGCUCGCCAGCGCCGCCAGCCCGCGCUCCGCAGGGGAGGACCGCAGCGUGGCGGAGGAGCUGCGGCAGCGCGUGCGCAUCCUGUGCUGGGUGAUGACGGGGCCCCGCACGCUGCACACCAGGGCCCGGCACGUGCGG